GAUGAACGCUCGCUACAGGCUUAACACAUGCAAGUCGAGGGGAAACGCCAUCGAAAGCUUGCUUUUGAUGGGCGUCGACCGGCGCACGGGUGAGUAACGCGUAUCUAACCUGCCCAUCACUUGGGAAUAACCUUGCGAAAGUAAGACUAAUACCCAAUGAUAUCCCACGAAGGCAUCGGAAUGGGAUUAAAGAUUUAUCGGUGAUGGAUGGGGAUGCGUCUGAUUAGCUUGUUGGCGGGGUAACGGCCCACCAAGGCAACGAUCAGUAGGGGUUCUGAGAGGAAGGUCCCCCACAUUGGAACUGAGACACGGUCCAAACUCCUACGGGAGGCAGCAGUGAGGAAUAUUGGUCAAUGGGCGAGAGCCUGAACCAGCCAAGUAGCGUGCAGGAAGACGGCCCUAUGGGUUGUAAACUGCUUUUAUAAGGGAAUAAAGUGGGUCACGUGUGACUUUUUGCAUGUACCUUAUGAAUAAGGACCGGCUAAUUCCGUG
rnacentral:rRNA from 1 species